ensembl:lncRNA
CAGCGCUAUGCGGGUUUUCGUAUCGGUGUUACUGACACUUAUGAACUGGGUUACGUCGCUCAUAAGUCAGCUCCGAAAGUGUCCUGACAAAGAUAGACGAGGAAAGGAUUGUGGAGUUGGGUAAGAGAAAGAAGGAAAGAAAGAAAGAAAGAAAGAACUGUGGAGUUGGGUAAGAGAAAGGAAGAAGAAAGAAAGAAAGAAAGAAAGAAAGAAAGAAAGAAAGAAUUAAAGAAAGAAAGAAAGAAAGAAAGAAAGAAAGAAAGAAAGAGAAAGAAUUGUGGAGUUGGUAACAGAAAGAAAGAAAGAAAGAAAGAAGAGAAAGAAUUGUGGAGUUGUGUAACAGAAAGAAAGAAAGAAAGAAAGAAAGAAAGAAAGACGAAGAA